CCCUCGAGGCGUCUUCUGUGUUAUCAAUAUGAAACUUUGUUUAGCUGUAGAAGGAAGUGAUGGCCGCAAGUCACAAGUUAGGCCCGGAGAAGUCCAUAAACAGAAUGGAGUUUUAUGGUAUGUUGCAACAAUGACCCGCGCAGCUAUGACUAAACUUCUGUUCCUCGUGAUCCUGGCCUUCAUCCUCUGCCUCCCAGAGUUCUUCAGCGACCACAGAGUCCUGAGCGUGUCUCUACACUGCGUGCGGCCCCAGCUGUGUGGAGAUGAGGAGGAGAGUGCGGUGAAGACUGCAGUCGCGAGGAGCAACAGCACAUGUCCUGAACAAUGGGAGCAUCUCCUCAGUGCCGCGGCCGAUCAAAGGAACGCGACACAGACAGACACGACCUGCUAUGUGUGCCAGGCAAAUGUCAACAUCCCAGAGCUGGAUCACAACCGCUCCUCUUCAGCUGAGACGGUCUACUUCGAAGUGUCUCUCGCCCUCCAGCAGGACGACAUGGCCUCCGUUCACCUCACCUUGUUUGGCCACAGCCAUGACUCCCGAUUCCUCCACCUUUCUGACCAGGAGGAAGGAAAGGAGAACCACAAUUACGCUUUCUUGGACUGCCCUCCAUCAGCGGACGGGGCCAACCACAGCUGCUGCCACCUUUUGCUCUCCAAUAGGACAUUUGCGAGGGGAGGGCUGCCAUGGAAACGCGCCACAGAAGGUGAGUGGACGUAUGUGCUCCGAAUGACCUGGCUCUCCCUGCUGUGCAUCGUGCUGCUGCUCAUCGUCGUCACUGUCGCUCAACAAAUCAUUGUUGAAAGAAAGCGUCGCUCUGGCAAUUCGAAAAUACAGCCAUUUGAUUACAUAAGUAAAGGGCAACAAUCAAUCGACAGCGGAAUAGGCACGGAAGUCAACACUCCCAGGGCUUUGAGUAUAGACCAUUACGCCUGGUCAGCAUUGUCUUCUAUAGAGGAAGUGGAGACAGCAGGUAGGCCAAAACAACUACUGCAGACAGACCAUACCUGUGAGUAA
rnacentral:lncRNA from 1 species